rnacentral:tRNA from 3 species
GGGGGCGUAGCUCAGUGGUAGAGCAGCGGCCUUUUAAGCCGCGUGUCGUGGGUUCGAACCCCACCGCCCUCACCA